GCCGCUAUAGCUCAGCUGGUAGAGCAAUCGCCUUGUAAGCGAUGGGCCACAGGUUCAAGCCCUGUUGGCGGCACCA
rnacentral:tRNA from 2 species